rnacentral:rRNA from 1 species
GAACGCUGGCGGCACGCUUAACACAUGCAAGUCGAACGAGAGAAGAGCAGCUUGCUUUUCUGAUCUAGUGGCGGACGGGUGAGUAACACGUGAGCAAUCUGCCUUUCAGAGGGGGAUACCGAUUGGAAACGAUCGUUAAUACCGCAUAACAUAAUUGAACCGCAUGAUUUGAUUAUCAAAGAUUUAUCGCUGAAAGAUGAGCUCGCGUCUGAUUAGCUAGUUGGUAAGGUAACGGCUUACCAAGGCGACGAUCAGUAGCCGGACUGAGAGGUUGAUCGGCCACAUUGGGACUGAGACACUGCCCAGACUCCUACGGGAGGCAGCAGUGGGGAAUAUUGCACAAUGGAGGAAACUCUGAUGCAGCGAUGCCGCGUGAGGGAAGAAGGUUUUAGGAUUGUAAACCUCUGUCUUCAGGGACGAAAAAAGACGGUACCUGAGGAGGAAGCGCCGGCUAACUACGUG